rnacentral:rRNA from 1 species
AGUGAACGCUGGCGGUAGGCCUAACACAUGCAAGUCGAACGGCAGCACAGUAAGAGCUUGCUCUUACGGGUGGCGAGUGGCGGACGGGUGAGAAAUACAUCGGAAUCUACUUUUUCGUGGGGGAUAACGUAGGGAAACUUACGAUAAUACCGCAUACGACGUACGGGUGAAAGCAGGGGGUCUUCGGACCUUGCGCGAUUGCAUGAGCCGAUGUCGGAUUAGCUAGUUGGCGGGGUAAAGGCCCACCAAGGCGACGAUCCGUAGCUGGUCUGAGAGGAUGAUCAGCCACACUGGAACUGAGACACGGUCCAGACUCCUACGGGAGGCAGCAGUGGGGAAUAUUGGACAAUGGGCGCAAGCCUGAUCCAGCCAUACCGCGUGGGUGAAGAAGGCCUUCGGGUUGUAAAGCCCUUUUGUUGGGAAAGAAAAGCAGCAGGUUAAUACCCCGCUGUUCUGACGGUACCCAAAGAAUAAGCACCGGCUAACUUCGUG